CAUAGAUAGACCAUAGACAUUCACGGUGGGCCCAAUAGAGUUUAACUCAGUACGCAAUCCGAUUUCUGCCAAAACCGCUAUCUCUCCGACCCUUCUUCAAUCUCUGCGGUGAUCUUCGACGGCGAGUCCCAGCUCGAGUUCUCAAAGAGGCAGGCAGUUGUCUAUUCUCUCUACGCUCCCAAGGCGAAUAACGUCAUGGAAAUCACAAGCUGAUGAGGUUCGGUCGCCAUCUGUUAUCGGACUUAAAAAUGCAGGCUGAUGGCAUUGAAGCUUCAACUAAUGUUGCAAGAUGCAACCUCCAAACAAAAGAAUGUGAACUGAAAUAAGGAAUCUGGCAGCUAUUACACCUAAAACAUUGAACUAGAGAGAUACAAUAUGCCUUGUAUAAAUGUACUUUGAAAUACCAUCUUCUCGGAGUACUAUAUACGAGUAUAAGGGAUUUUUAUUU